AUGUACGAAUUAUAAUCUGUAAGGGGGCGACCGUUUGGGCACGAGUGUCGCGUAUAUCGUCACUGCAUAGGCGCAACUAGACAUCCGACUUUGGGAGUGCUAAAAUUACCUAUACCCGUGGGGCUAUACCCUCACAAUCCUCUUUAUGCGGUUACACGCGGGUACAAUAAGCAAAUAAACAUUUCACUAAUAAUGUAGUACAUAGAAAUUUAUCAUAACUAUUUUAACAAUAUUUUUCAUAAUAAUAUACACUGCGCGGAUUGUUUG